UGAANGUGNCUACANCAANNGAGUGANUACACNUGANUACCUGCCCUUAACUCUGGGAUAAGCCUGGGAAACUGGGUCUAAUACCGGAUAGGAGCGUCCACCGCAUGGUGGGUGUUGGAAAGAUUUAUCGGUUUUGGAUGGACUCGCGGCCUAUCAGCUUGUUGGUGAGGUAAUGGCUCACCAAGGCGACNACGGGUAGCCGGCCUGAGAGGGUGACCGGCCACACUGGGACUGAGACACGGCCCANACUCCUACGGGAGGCAGCAGUGGGGAAUAUUGCACAAUGGGCGNAAGCCUGAUGCAGCGACGCCGCGUGAGGGAUGACGGCCUUCGGGUUGUAAACCUCUUUCAGUAGGGAAGAAGCGAAAGUGACGGUACCUGCAGAANAGCCCGGCUAACUACGUGCCAGCAGCCCGGUAAUCGUAGGGUGCGAGCGUUUCCCGGAAUUUUGGCGUAAGAGCUCUAGCGGUUUUCCCGCUGUCGUGAAAUCCGGGCUACCCCCGAUCUUCGUGGUCNGCAACNCAUCNCNGGGANCUGAAUCUGUUUCGUGAUGCCAAAUANGAGACCCAUGCAAGCGCUUGGUGAUACUAGAAACUGGGCACGNAACCGNNCCCACUGCNGUGGGUUGUUCCCCANNCCCGNNCGGNAAUGGCCNAAAAC
rnacentral:rRNA from 1 species